AGUGUUUUACUGAUUGCCAGACGCUUCCGGGUAAUCGCGCUGUGUAUUGCUGAAGGUCCUGGGCAAAGCACACACCGGGUAGCUUUACCACAAUUUACUAGCAUCAAGAAGGUCUGGGGCAAAGUACCCGCCGUGUAGCUGUAACGUUACUGCCAGACGCUUCCGGGUAAUCGCGCUGUGUGCUUUUGAAGGUCCUAGAAGAGUAUUAGCGUAGCUGCUCACAAGAGAGGUUCCUGGUUCCGUCCCCACACCCUGCACCACGUAUUGUAGUGGUAAAUUGCACUUCACAAUCUUGUUUGAAUCAUCGGCUUGUGGUGGUGUGUGUGUGCGUGUGUGUGUGCGUGUGUGUGGAUGCAUGGGAUCGUGGGCUCCAGGUUCCAGAGCACGGGUGGUGAACGUCACGCGUAUCUCGGACAGGUAACCUGCCUUGCCAGCGAAUCAGUAUUUUCUGGUUUAAUUGGUAAUCAUACAUUUGUCCCCUGUAACAGCUAAUGCCAGGUCUAGUCUCUAUUAGUAAUGUGUCUCUAGGAUGACGGUGUGGCUCUUUUAAUGAUACCAUUGUAUAAUAAAGUUUUGUUACUGUUUUUCUACUG